rnacentral:misc_RNA from 1 species
UUUUGAAACGUCAGCUGCAAAAUUCGGUGACUUAAGAUCAUUGUAUGAACGUUUAAUCUUCGUUAAUAAGAACUUUUCUUGAGCUUUCUUCGUUUCUCUAAUAAUGUCACAGUCUAUAAUCGAUAGUGAUUUUGUGACUGAAACAUUCAGAUAUGCUUUUAAGAAGACUGAUGUUAGAGAUAAAUUGGAAAGACUUAAUGAAGUCAUGAAAGAUAAUUUAGACCAGAUCAAUAGGAAUAAGUAUUCUUUCAAUUUUCAAGGACAGACCUACAAUCUUUCAUCGAAUUAUCAGGUUAGGAACGGGGUUGUUCAUGUGAAUACUGAGGCUCCUUUAGAGGUUUUGAAGCUUUUGUCUGUAUAUAUGUAUUAUGUAGAACCAAAGUACAUUGAUAUGUCACCUUACAGUCCUGAAUCUUUAUUCGGUAAUCCGAAUUAUAUGAAGGCUGUUAAGAUGUGGAAGCCUUACUAUGACAAGUCGAUGAACGAGUAUUUGAAUGAUAGAAGUGAGGUUGGGUGUUUAUACACCAUGGAUGACAUAGACAAGAACUAUCCUACACUGAGUCAAACGAGGAAAAUUACUCUAUAUAGAGUUUGCAAUUCCUUAGGAAAACUCGUGGACCUAAAAGAGCUUAGUGCCGGUGUACUUAAAGCUUUUGAGGUCAAAACUUCUGACGUUGGUCAAGCAGUCAUGACGACAACUACCGAUAAUGCACUCUUUGGUGAGUGUGUCAAGGUGUUCAAAGAUUUUAUAGUUCUCAAUUCUACAAAGGCUGGGAAAGAAAAGAUAGAGGUUAAUAGAAAGUUUUUGAACUCUUUCCUGCGAUGUCUGUCUCCAAAAGACGAACUCGGUAAUCUAGGCGAAAAUCCGUUGCUAAUCGCCUGGUUUAUGCGAGAAUUCACCAACCGUACAAAGAACAGUAAGGGUUAUAAGGACAAUUUUAAGGCUGUGGUAGAUUUGAGUCAACCAAUGCUUAAGUUUCUCAAGGACGUGUUCUUAAAAGAUCUGAGUCUAGAUGAAGACUCUCUAUUCAUAACUUUUCCUAAGAACUCUGUAGUGGAGAUAGUUGAUCAAGUGAUACCGCUAGCUAAAUUUCAUAGGAAUCAAGCACUCCCAAAACCAAUGAGUAAUUCUUGCGAUUUACCUAGGGACGUUGACGAAUUGGUUUCUAAAACCAUCGCAGAAUAUUUGGGUAAAUUCGUCAAGACUGAUGAAGAUUUGUUGCUAGAUGCCUUUCUUUUCGUAUUAGGCAGAUGUACGACGAAUCAGAAGCGUUGGACUUCCGGUUUUGAAAUAGAUUUUAAAAUUUUGGGUGAGAGAAUUAAGUUUGAUUCCAAAGAUUUAUGGUAUCAUCUAGUCAAUGUUGUUCGUACAAACCAUCCGCGGUUUAGAACGAAUAAUUUGAUUAGACAGUGGGCCAACAAUAGAGGUGAUAGAGCCAGGGCAAUGUUUAAAAUUUGUGAGUACCACCCUGGACUGUUUGGUAGUAUCCCCAGAAUAGACAAUCACAUGCGGUUCGAUUUCUUUAAAUUGUUGAAUUUGCGAUUGAUGUCUGAGUCGGAAAAAGUGUCUUAUUACACACUCCGUCUUAUGACUGAGAGUAAAUCGAAUAACAGUGAUAAAGAUUUUUGUAAGUUGGUUUCAUGGAUUUCAGCGAAUUGAUUGAGAAGUAUGGAGUUGAGAGGAUUUCUUCUUUGACGUCUAGAUUGUUAGAAAUAAAAAGAACUGGAGUCGGUCUCGUGAAUUUGUUGCUAAAUCUGAUUAAUGAGAAUUUUGUCUACUUCGACUCAAAUAGGUCUAAGUGUGGGUUUGAAAAAGAGGAUCACGUUCUUAUUUUGCAAAUAAUUCCUUUAUUGCGUAUUUGAGGUUUGUUCUUUAUAUUAUCAUAACUUAACAGAUGGAUACUGGCAAAGUAAACGAUGACAAGAACUUUGACUCUGACUCCGAUGUAGGUUUCGGGGACAGGAAUGAGAACGAUAAUCUACGAAGACGUUCCGAUACGAUUGACAACGAAAACGUCAACAAUGUGGGAAGAAGAGACAUGGAGUUAACCAGUGGUAUAUUAACAUCUGAGCAACUGGCUCUUGCGAGGUUGGGAAAAAUACAGGUUUAUUCUAACUCACCAGACAUUAUGUCUAAGAGUCAAGAAGAUGAAUUCAAGAGACAUAUGGAGAGUUUUGUGAGGCAAAUUUCAGGGGAAACUACAUUAUCUCCUGAGAUUUUUGCAGGUUUCUACGCAUCUCUAUUCCAAGCUUGGGCAAACCAAAGUACUUCGGAAAAGAACGCGUCGAAUGCAAAUCUCGAGAAUGUGUUCAUGGUUAAUGGUAAGGAGUACAGUUGGAGAACUCAUAGUUUCAUCAAUCACAUGCAAUCCAAUAUGCCCGACGUGAAGAAUGCUGCUAGGAAAUGGGCCAGGGCUCACGCGAAUGAUUAUAAGGUUCUUGUUGGUUUGGGUAUAGUAAAACCUGACUAUCAUUUGCAAGCUAAACAAGGUGUAUUACCGGAGUAUUGGCAUCUUGCGACCGACUUCAUGAGAGGUAAUGACAUGGCGACGACUGCAGAUGGAUUAGCAGCAACACUGAUGAUGAUGAAAAGGAACGCUCUUUGUAACAAGGACAACAAGAAUUCUAUUUAUAACGUAACUCAAUUGACCGGUACUGGUCUUCACUGUUGAGUAUGGAUAUAUUAGAACUAGAAGUAGAUAACAUUAUAUCGACAAAUUAUCCCGAUGAUGAAUCCGAAAUAGUGACUAGAGCUGUGGGAUGUAAGUUCAAUCAAGAUUAUUCUCUACCUUACAAAGAUAGAGAACAAGUCGACUUCUCUAUACCUUACACUUCCGCGUUAAGAAGUAAACCUGUCACUUUAGAACUAUAUUUUCAUAUAGGAUCCGGGUAUGUUGUGUAUACUUGUAAACCCGCCGAUAACUUCAACCAAAAGAUAUAUGAGUCGAAUUUGGGAUCAUUCUUCUCAUCUUUUAGGAAUCUCGUCACUCCCAGAAGACCGCGUGGUAUGAACGCAUUUAGAUUUGGAUAUUUGCGAGAGGGAAACGACUGCUUUAUAAUAGUUGAAGGUUGGAGAGUCGUGCAGAUAUCAAAUGCCAACACUAUAUUCGGCGUUUCAUUGAGGUUAUCGUUAGACAUUGGCGACGUAAUCUUCAGCAAGUCCGACAAACUAAGUGCUAAUCAAAUUGCUCUAGAUUCGUGUUUGGAAUGCACUAGACCAGAUGGUUUGUUGAAAGGGGCCAAACCGAAAAGUGUUAAUAUUUUCUCUGAGACAACCCAAGAAAGUGUGAAAAUAACACCAAUUGGAGACAUUCCAUUAAGUGUUUUCAAUUCAGUAACCAAUCUCAAUCUAAAAAUACUGAGAAGUGGUGACGAUUCUACAUCGAUUAAAGAUGAGACUCAGAUCGACAAAGACCGUACUACAAUGAGUAAUGAAGAAGAUAAAAAGAAGAUCUUCCGCAUUUAUUACUCAAAUUUCUUAGACAGUGGUUUUAAGAAUUCUUUAAACUACACUAUACUUUGGCCGCAGAUAUCAUGUAACGGUGUAGAUGUAAAUCACCAAUUUUGGAUCGGUGACAGAGAAGAUAUGUUUGAAGGAGGUGUACAUUACAUACACACCACAUCGAUCAAUACGUUAUUCUUCGUACAUCGUAAGGGAGAUGUUUCAGAAUAUUUUAAAAUAAACGAAGAUCAAUCUGCCAGGAUACUGAAGACUAUACCAACUGAACUCACCUUCAGUAUAGUCAAAAAUCCUGGAAGUAAGUAUGUGGUGUAUGUCAAUGGAGAAAAAUUUUUAAGUACAUUUCUGCCUAAUGUUGGUACCAAAGUCCAAAUAGGUUGGGAAAUAAAGUUGUACAAAGAUAAGGUUAAAAAUUUUGAGAAGUCCAAUUUGAAAACUUUCGAAAUUGUUCCUAGAGAAACGCAAGUUAAGUCGGAUAAUGAGCUUGUGACACUAAGAAAAUAUGAGUUUGGAACAACAGAUUUCAAUGCUAGUGGAUGGGUACUUGAAAAGAAGUUGGGGCUGAGAUUGAAAACAAUUAAGCAUGUCAACGAACUUUUCACCGAUGACAAACCUCCUGAGAAAGAAGAACAAGUCGAUAAGACGGAUAAGCAAGACAAGAAAACACCCGAAGAAAAGAUCGACGACACCGUAGUUGUUGACAAGACAGAGGAUGCGAAAGAAAACUUGGAAGAGUUCGCACUCAAAGCCGUUGUUUAUCAACCACUAUCAAGGUUAGAAGAUGAGAAAAUCUUCAACAACAUGAUUAAAUAUUAUGAAAGUAAGGGAUUAACUCAAAGACAAGCUGAAUUACUCAUCUAUCAAAUGGGAGUUUCCUUUUGUACGAGUGUUAACAGUUGUGCAAAUACCAAUCUACAUUUAAUUGUAUCUAAACCGGAUGGAAGUUUGCUCAAGGUGUCUAAGUCCGACCACGUAAUGAGGAUGCAAAUGUUGUGUAAGAAGUACUGCAACGUUGAAAGAACGUUACUUAGAAAUAGAAGUGAUAAAAUAUUCAGACUUCUGAAGGCUAAGGUACUGGUUUUACCACUGAAACAUGCUAGGGUCAGAGGUAUAAAACCGGAAAUGGCACAUAUGGCAUGUGAUUUCAUGGACUACACCACCAUCCCAUUGAGUGAUGAGGAAGUUCUUGCAUUAAAUUCAAUGCAAAGAUUUGUAUUGAUGAGAAAUAAGCACCGCAGGUCCAUAGUGAAUGUGAAUCAACUGUUUUGAAAAUAUGUCGGGCUGGGAUGACAUACCUAUACAACAAAAUUAUGUUUCUUCCAGCGUUCGUAAUGAUGAUGACAUUGCGAAGAUAUGUGCCAGAACGUUUAACCGAGCAGUUAAUUUAUUAACUGAUUAUUCUCAACAUACUAUUCCUGAACUUCGAGAAAGUAGAUUCGAGUUGGGAUGUAUCCGAAGUCUGUGUGAAAACGAUGACCUCAAUAUCAACCUUGGAGCAGAUAAUAACAAUCUUUUCCAAGGAUUGAACAAAUUGGGCGUUAGGGCCGACUCACUUAGAGUUAACAGUGAGAGGUUCUUCCCCUCAAUAUCCAGUAAGGUGAUGACCAACGUGAUAGAUUCUAUUUCCUCUGUGAUGGAGUUUGUUAUAGAUCUUAAUCAUUCUGGGUUUUCAACCUUAUGGGUUGGUGAGAUCAUGACCAUAUAUGAUGUCAACAGUUUUGACAAACUGGUGGAUGCCAUAUAUAGGUUUUUGUUAUACACCUACAACUUCCCUGAGGAAGUGCAAUUUCAUAUGACCUUGAAUUUGUUUAAUGACGAUAUUUUAAAAAUAAUAUCAAAAGCAAAGAAAAAGAUUAGACCUCUUAGUGAUAGUGAGAGGGUUUUAAUGGCUAAAAGUAUUACUAAAGGGAUUCAUUUCGAAUUCCACUUUACUUAUAGGUCUUUAGGUUUAUAUCUUCCUAAAGUAACUAAUAGUCUAACGGUUUGUAAUAAAAAUCGAUAAAGAUAUUAGGGUAGAUUUGAUUAAUGUUUAUACCCUAGAGUCAUACACCUGAGAGAUUCGGAGUGUGUAUUGUAAAAACUCAAAAAAUAUAUGUUUCGUAUACGUAUUUCUAUUUAGAGUGUGUGUAUGAACGGUUUUCCUAAAUCGUCGUGAGACGGACCUUGGAAAACCUAGUAUUUAAAUAACUAGGUC